rnacentral:rRNA from 1 species
GCCUGCCCAGUGACCCUGUUCAACGGCCGCGGUAUCCUAACCGUGCGAAGGUAGCGUAAUCACUUGUUCUUUAAAUGAGGACUAGUAUGAAUGGCACCACGAAGGUUAUACUGUCUCCUUCCCCUAAUCAGUGAAACUAAUCUUCCCGUGAAGAAGCGGGAAUAAACCUAUAAGACGAGAAGACCCUAUGGAGCUUUAAACACAGUAAUAACUGCCCCCCCCCCUAUGUAUCUCCGGAAAAAACUACCUUACCUGGGCACCCUAAUUACAAGUUUUAGGUUGGGGUGACCGCGGAGCAAAAAAUAACCUCCACAGUGAAUGGGACUCUUCCCCUAAAUUCAGGGCCACAGCCCUAAAAAUCAAUAAAUUGACACCCAUUGACCCAAUACUUUUGAUCAAUGAAC